UACGGAGGGGGCUAGCGUUGUUCGGAAUUACUGGGCGCAAAGCGCACGUAGGCGGCUUUGUAAGUUAGAGGUGAAAGCCCGGGGCUCAACUCCGGAACUGCCUUUAAGACUGCAUCGCUUGAAUCCAGGAGAGGUGAGUGGAAUUCCGAGUGUAGAGGUGAAAUUCGUAGAUAUUCGGAAGAACACCAGUGGCGAAGGCGGCUCACUGGACUGGUAUUGACGCUGAGGUGCGAAAGCGUGGGGAGCAAACAGG
rnacentral:rRNA from 1 species